rnacentral:rRNA from 1 species
UUCUCACGAUCCCUUCGGGGUGACGAGUUAUUGACUGAGUGGCGGACGGGUGAGUAACGCGUGGGUAACCUACCUUGUACAGGGGGACAACAGUUGGAAACGACUGCUAAUACCGCAUAAGCGCACAGCAUCGCAUGAUGCAGUGUGAAAAGUUUUUUCGGUACAAGAUGGACCCGCGUCUGAUUAGCUAGUUGGUGAGGUAACGGCCCACCAAGGCGACGAUCAGUAGCCGACCUGAGAGGGUGACCGGCCACACUGGGACUGAGACACGGCCCAAACUCCUACGGGAGGCAGCAGUGGGGAAUAUUGCACAAUGGGCGCAAGCCUGAUGCAGCGACGCCGCGUGAGCGAAGAAGUAUUUCGGUAUGUAAAGCUCUAUCAGCAGGGAAGAUAAUGACGGUACCUGACUAAGAAGCACCGGCUAAAUACGUGCCAGCAGCCGCGGUAAUACGUAUGGUGCAAGCGUUAUCCGGAUUUACUGGGCGUAAAGGGCGCGUAGGCGGCGCUUCAAGUCGUCUGUCAAAUGGAAGGGCUUAACCCUUUUUCGCAGACGAAACUGGAGAGCUUGAGAAGCAGAGAGGCAAACAGAAUUCCUGGUGUAGCGGUGAAAUGCGUAGAUAUCAGGAAGAAUACCAGUGGCGAAGGCGGUUUGCUGGCUGCAUACUGACGCUGAAGCGCGAAAGCCAGGGGAGCGAACGGGAUUAGAUACCCCGGUAGUCC